GACGAACGCUGGCGGCGUGCUUAACACAUGCAAGUCGAACGGAAAGGCCCUGCUUUUGUGUGGUGCUCGAGUGGCGAACGGGUGUGUAACACGUGAGUAACCUGCCCUUGACUUUGGGAUAACUUCAGGAAACUGGGGCUAAUACCGGAUAGGAGCUCCUGCUGCAUGGUGGGGGUUGGAAAGUUUCGGCGGUUGGGGAUGGACUCGCGGCUUAUCAGCUUGUUGGUGGGGUAGUGGCUUACCAAGCCUUUGACGGGUAGCCGGCCUGAGAGGGUGACCGGCCACAUUGGGACUGAGAUACGGCCCAGACUCCUACGGGAGGCAGCAGGGGGGAAUAUUGCACAAUGGGCGGAAGCCUGAUGCAGCAACGCCGCGUGCGGGAUGACGGCCUUCGGGUUGUAAACCGCUUUCGCCUGUGACGAAGCGUGAGUGACGGUAAUGGGUAAAGAAGCACCGGCUAACUACGUG
rnacentral:rRNA from 1 species